AUCGUCUGCAAAUAAUCUAGGUUGUCCUUUCAACGGGAGCUUUGCAAUAUCGUUUAUAUAAAGCAAAAACAGCAAAGGGCCGAUGUUGCUUCCUUGAGGAACGCCACAACUAACGUUUCGAUACUCACUACAAAUCCCGUCAACCAUAACCUUCUGAUAUCGACCGGUGAGAUAGCUAUUAAUGAGAUCAUUCGCAAUACCACGGAUUCCAUAGGCGUCGAGUUUCUUCAGAAGUAUCGAAUGAUUAAUGGUGUCAAAGGCCUUAGACAGAUCCAAAAACACUGCUCCGGCUACCUUCCUUCGAUCUACAGAUCGAGCGAUGUCGUCCACCAACUCUAAAAUAGCUACAUCGGUCGUAGAUCCUUGUCUGAACCCGAAUUGUCUUUCAUAAAACAGGCCUGUAGUCUCUAGGAAACAGUGCAAACGUGUCGACAAAAGUUUUUCAAAUACUUUGUUGAUAGUUGGUAGGACGGAAAUGGGUCUAUAGUUGGUUGGAUUUGUUGGAUCGCCGCUUUUGAAGACUGGAUACACGAGGGCCUUUUUCAAACAGUCGGGAUACGCUGUAACGUUUAUGUAAUUUGUUGAUGUUAUUGUACGUACGGAUAUGAAAAUCAUAAAAAGCACAAAACAGCACCAAAUCAAAUAUAGUGUUCCAAGAGUAAAUAAUCAAACACCCCUAUGAAAUGCCUCAUUACGCCACUGUGAACCAAACCACCAUCGACGCCGCGACGUUCAAGCCUUUGCCACACCGGCGCCGUACACAACCGAUGCACACAGCCGAAGCUAGGCACAUAGUUCACCAACAACGAGCGCACCAUCGUCAGCGACCAACGUUAGAGUCGGUUACCCAGCAACACGAUACGAACAGUCGAUUCUACGCUCUUCCACCUGCUAGAGCAGGACGAAUGUAGGAUCGCUCGAUGCAUCGGUGAUUCUUCGUCGGCACACACACCAACAGAUCAUCCACCUUCAGCCUGGUCGUAUGGUUUGCAGCACGACAGUCCCGACAGCUCACUCGAUCGCUUCGGAGGCAAGCAAUACGAGCUCAAAUCCCCGUGCUUGAUCCACCCAGGAAAGUGACCGUCCGACCGAUAGAGAAAAGGAUUUUCCCUAAAGAACCUAGUCGCCAUCGACUCGGUAAGCCACGCCACAACGUACGAGAGCCAAAACGUCGCUUGCUAUCAAACGCAACCGGAAGAUCAUUCACCGGAUCGACACCUGGAAAGGCGAGGCAAACGUUAAGUGCGAUUGAUUUGCUGAUAAGUAGACGGUGAGUGAUUAUUCUUGGAGAGCCAGCCAGUGGAUUUAACGGUAGCAUUACACUCGCAAUAGGUUCCGGACGGCACAUUGGGCGUUCGCCAGCACGGUGAGGAGCAGCGUGCAAGGGGAAGUGAACGAUGCAAGGUGAGUCGCUUUGUGAAAAGCGUCAAACAAAAGGGAAUUAACAAAGCGCAUUUCGUAUCCACAGACAAUUGGAGCGGCCUGGACGCUUAGCACUGCGCGCGACAGCCUACGACGCACGAGCACACACACGUUGAAAACCCCUAUUCAGGGUAAGCAGUAUAUGUCGCCGCACACAAACAAUCUCUAACUUGUCGCGCGACAGGGUUUUUUUUUCUUGUAGUGUUUCAUCACGUGAACGGCACAAAUCGCGCAACAACCUACAGCCAACUGAUCGUCGUGACUCAAUGUCUUAAAUUUGACAGGUCCGGCCCAUCGUAUGGGUUUGUUAGUAUUGGUAGCGAAAAAAAUGUAAACAUGCGACAAAUUGGCGGUGACGUCAAGUUUGCAAAAACAAAAAUAGAUUGCUUGCAAUGUGAAUUGGAAUAGUAGUUCUUUAAGUACUUCUGUGUUCUAAAUAAAGAAUUUCCAUGAGUUUUUCAUUCAA